AAUAUUGGACAAUGGGGGCAACCCUGAUCCAGCCAUGCCGCGUGUGUGAAGAAGGGCUCCGGAUUGUAAAGCACUUUAAGUUGGGAGGAAGGGCUUGAGGUUAAUACCCUGAAGUUUUGACGCUACCAACAGAAGAAGCACCGGCUAACUCUGUGACAGCAGCCGCGGUAAUACAGAUGGUGCAAUCGUUAAUCGGCAUUACUGGGAGUAAAGCGGGCGGAGGUGGUUCAGUAAGAUGGGUGUGAAAUCCCCGGGCUUAACCUGGGAACUGCUUUCAUAACUGCUGAGCUAGAGUACGGUAGAGGGUAGUGGAAUUUCCUGUGUAGCGGUGAAAUGCGUAGAUAUAGGAAGGAACACCAGUGGCGAAGGCGACUACCUGGACUGAUACUGACACUGAGGUGCGAAAGCGUGGGGAGCAAAC
rnacentral:rRNA from 1 species